GGUUUACAUGCCCUCUCUGGUAUGACGUCUAUCCUCGUUAUCGGUUUCCCACAGGUCUGUCGUGUUCUGAGAGGGAACAUACGUUAGGCUACUGUUUCCUUUUCUAUUAUUUUUGUGAUCUGGUGCUAGGCCUAGGCCUACUGCUGUUUUCAUUAUUAUAACCGGAGGGUGACAGCAGCCGAUAUGCAUUCGCUUCCUUUAUCACUGUCAGGUCUACUUUUGUGCACCACCGUGGUCACAACUUACCAUAGCUACUGGGAAAAUGACAUCUUUAGUUAUACUCAGGAAGUAUGCAGUGGCCAAUCUUUCGUCAUUCAAUUUGGUGGUGGCU